CAAAAGGCUCUUUUAAGAGCCACCUACUUCCAUCUGAAAAGUGCUGU
rfam:Otolemur garnettii contig059045, whole genome shotgun sequence.